rnacentral:rRNA from 1 species
AUGAACGCUAGCUACAGGCUUAACACAUGCCAGUCGAGGGGAAACGACAUCGAAAGCUUGCUUUUGAUGGGCGUCGACCGGCGCACGGGUGAGUAACGCGUAUCCAACCUGCCCAUCACUUGGGAAUAACCUUGCGAAAGUAAGACUAAUACCCAAUGAUAUCCCACGAAGGCAUCGGAAUGGGAUUAAAGAUUUAUCGGUGAUGGAUGGGGAUGCGUCUGAUUAGCUUGUUGGCGGGGUAACGGCCCACCAAGGCAACGAUCAGUAGGGGUUCUGAGAGGAAGGUCCCCCACAUUGGAACUGAGACACGGUCCAAACUCCUACGGGAGGCAGCAGUGAGGAAUAUUGGUCAAUGGGCGAGAGCCUGAACCAGCCAAGUAGCGUGCAGGAAGACGGCCCUAUGGGUUGUAAACUGCUUUUAGAAGGGAAUAAAGUGGGUCACGUGUGACUUUUUGCAUGUACCUUAUGAAUAAGGACCGGCUAAUUCCGUG